rnacentral:rRNA from 1 species
AGUGAACGCUGGCGGUAGGCCUAACACAUGCAAGUCGAACGGCAGCACAGUAAGAGCUUGCUCUUACGGGUGGCGAGUGGCGGACGGGUGAGGAAUACAUCGGAAUCUACUUUUUCGUGGGGGAUAGCGUAGGGAAACUUACGCUAAUACCGCAUACGACCUACGGGUGAAAGCAGGGGAUCUUCGGACCUUGCGCGAUUGAAUGAGCCGAUGUCGGAUUAGCUAGUUGGCGGGGUAAAGGCCCACCAAGGCGACGAUCCGUAGCUGGUCUGAGAGGAUGAUCAGCCACACUGGAACUGAGACACGGUCCAGACUCCUACGGGAGGCAGCAGUGGGGAAUAUUGGACAAUGGGCGCAAGCCUGAUCCAUCCAUACCGCGUGGGUGAAGAAGGCCUUCGGGUUGUAAAGCCCUUUUGUUGGGAAAGAAAAGCAGCAGGUUAAUACCCCGCUGUUCUGACGGUACCCAAAGAAUAAGCACCGGCUAACUUCGUG